AGUGAACGCUGGUGGUAGGCCUAACACAUGCAAGUCGAACGGCAGCACAGUAAGAGCUUGCUCUUACGGGUGGCGAGUGGCGGACGGGUGAGGAAUACAUCGGAAUCUACUUUUUCGUGGGGGAUAACGUAGGGAAACUUACGCUAAUACCGCAUACGACCUACGGGUGAAAGCAGGGGAUCUUCGGACCUUGCGCGAUUGAAUGAGCCGAUGUCGGAUUAGCUAGUUGGCGGGGUAAAGGCCCACCAAGGCGACGAUCCGUAGCUGGUCUGAGAGGAUGAUCAGCCACACUGGAACUGAGACACGGUCCAGACUCCUACGGGAGGCAGCAGUGGGGAAUAUUGGACGAUGGGCGCAAGCCUGAUCCAGCCAUACCGCGUGGGUGAAGAAGGCCUUCGGGUUGUAAAGCCCUUUUGUUGGGAAAGAAAAGCAGCAGGUUAAUACCCCGCUGUUCUGACGGUACCCAAAGAAUAAGCACCGGCUAACUUCGUG
rnacentral:rRNA from 1 species